rnacentral:rRNA from 1 species
UACGUAGGGCGCAAGCGUUAUCCGGAAUUAUUGGGCGUAAAGAGCUUGUAGGCGGUUUGUCGCGUCUGCCGUGAAAGUCCGGGGCUCAACUCCGGAUCUGCGGUGGGUACGGGCAGACUAGAGUGAUGUAGGGGAGACUGGAAUUCCUGGUGUAGCGGUGGAAUGCGCAGAUAUCAGGAGGAACACCGGUGGCGAAGGCAGGUCUCUGGGCCGAUACUGACGCUGAGGCGCGAAAGCUAGGGGAGCAAACAGG